rnacentral:rRNA from 1 species
GUGGGGAAUCUUGCGCAAUGGGCGAAAGCCUGACGCAGCCAUGCCGCGUGAAUGAUGAAGGUCUUAGGAUUGUAAAAUUCUUUCACCGGGGACGAUAAUGACGGUACCCGGAGAAGAAGCCCCGGCUAACUUCGUGCCAGCAGCCGCGGUAAUACGAAGGGGGCUAGCGUUGCUCGGAAUUACUGGGCGUAAAGGGCGCGUAGGCGGACAGUUUAGUCAGAGGUGAAAGCCCAGGGCUCAACCUUGGAAUUGCCUUUGAUACUGACUGUCUUGAGUUUGGGAGAGGUGAGUGGAACUCCGAGUGUAGAGGUGAAAUUCGUAGAUAUUCGGAAGAACACCAGUGGCGAAGGCGACUCACUGGCCCAAUACUGACGCUGAGGCGCGAAAGCGUGGGGAGCAAACAGGAUUAGAUACCCGUGUAGUCC